UACGGAGGGUGCAAGCGUUAUCCGGAUUCACUGGGUUUAAAGGGUGCGUAGGUGGGUUGGUAAGUCCGUGGUGAAAUCCCUGAGCUUAACUCAGGAACUGCCGUGGAUACUAUCAGUCUUGAAUGCUGUGGAGGUAAGCGGAAUAUGUCAUGUAGCGGUGAAAUGCUUAGAUAUGACAUAGAACACCAAUUGCGAAGGCAGCUUGCUACACGGUUAUUGACACUGAUGCACGAAAGCGUGGGGAUCAAACAGG
rnacentral:rRNA from 1 species